GUGGGGAAUAUUGGACAAUGGGCGAAAGCCUGAUCCAGCCAUGCCGCGUGUGUGAAGAAGGUCUUCGGAUUGUAAAGCACUUUAAGUUGGGAGGAAGGGCAGUAAGUUAAUACCUUGCUGUUUUGACGUUACCAACAGAAUAAGCACCGGCUAACUUCGUGCCAGCAGCCGCGGUAAUACGAAGGGUGCAAGCGUUAAUCGGAAUUACUGGGCGUAAAGCGCGCGUAGGUGGUUCAGCAAGUUGGAGGUGAAAUCGCCGGGCUCAAACUGGGAACUGCCUCCCAAACUACUGAGCUAGAGUACGGUAGAGGGUAGUGGAAGUUCCUGUGUAGCGGUGAAAUGCGUAGAUAUAGGAAGGAACACCAGUGGCGAAGGCGACUACCUGGACUGAUACUGACACUGAGGUGCGAAAGCGUGGGGAGCAAACAGGAUUAGAAACCCGAGUAGUCC
rnacentral:rRNA from 1 species